GUCAUGACAAGUUUUCCUGAGGAAGAUUUGUUAGAAAGAGCUUAUUGAAACUAAAAGUCAUAAAAGUCUGCAGAACUUAUUUAGAUCAAGCUCAAAAAUGUUUUCCAUGGAUAGAUUUUAAACCUGCUGUUUAGAGUACAUCGUUUUUGAUGUAACAGGCAUAACCUGGGACUAUUUCUUGUGUCUGAUGUUUUUGUAUUUAACCAUUGUCAUGUUGUUUUCAUUGGUUCAUAGAGGCUUAGUGUUGGAUAACCCAUCCGUUACGGACGCAAAUUAUGUUUUUGCCAUGUUGUUCUUGUCUAGAACAGUGAAAUAAUUCUGGGUAUCUUCCCAUUUCCUCCUCCUGUAAACUGUGAGCACCAUUUACAGAGUAGAGCAGAAGAGUAGAAGAGGUGGACAGCAGGGGAGAGAGAGAGUGGAGCUGUUUUCAGAGAUGACAUUUUAAUUAAUGGCAUAUUAUUUUAAUUAAUGGCGUAUAGAGAAAACAACUGAAACAGAGCAGGAAUAACAUUCAAACUACAGCACAGAACAUGAAGUAUGAAAGCCUGUGCUUUAAUUGUGUGUAAGAAAAAAAAAAAAACAAGGUUAAACUCAAUUUUGCUUCUGUGGUUAACGCCUUAGCUUUGACAGCCCUACAUGUUAUAUUUUAAAAUUUAGAUUAUUUCCACUGGUAUUUUUAUUUCGCUUGUUACUCAUCAAAUUGACAAUCCAACUGAAACACGAUUGACUUCUGGAAAAAAAAAAAAUGGACGACACAACCUGGAUUCAUAUGGAGCGUGGCAGCAUUGUUGCGAGAUCCAAAUCUGAAGAAAGAUACUAAUAUUAUCAUAAAAAGACAAAAGAUGUAGGUCAUCAUUGCAGAUAGGCCUGUCGAGGAAAAGAAAUCCUAUCUGAGCAGUCUGAAGGAUAAAAAAAUAAAUACAUUUCAAAUCAUAAUUCAUAGAAAAACAUCUUUAGCACCCAUACAAGUCCGAGUGCUCGCCCUUGAUGUGCAGUUCUCCAGCCAGCUGUGGCGAGGGUCCCAUUGUUCCCACUCAGUUAUGCCCUUGAAACCAACAAUUGAACACAACUGUAAAUUUCCUCUCCCCCCCUUUUAAAUUGUUUAUGAGCUUCGUUGUCCUUUGAUCGGGGCGUCAUCACACGGCAGAGGAGGAAAUCGAAUUAAUUGCAUGUCCGUUAAUCGCAUUACAUCUUCAUUAACAUGCCGUGAGUCAGGGCUUAAGCUCAUCACACGUGCCUGGAGGAGAGGAAGAGAGGGGAGGAGCAGGGAAGAGCAGGAGGGGAGAGCAGUUGAGAAGGACAAGAUGGAAACCGGGGUUUCCCUCUCCAUAGGCUCUCCCUCCUCAGCACAGCGGUGGCUUUUUGAAACGACUGUCUCCAUGAAUCCUAGCCCAGGUAAGUAUUGGAUUCAUUAAGAUAGAAAGUGUUAUCUUUUCUUCAAAUGCUAGAAGUCUCAACUUAAACCACAUACAGUGCCUUGCAAAUGUAUUCAAACGUCUUGAACUUUUCGACAUUUUGUAAGAACUACAAGCUACAGUGUUAUUCAUUAGGCUGGUAUCGAAUACGCCAACAUAAAUCUGUGCCCAACUGAGAAAUGGAAGAAAAAUGACACGCGGUUUUUAAGUGGGAAGUAUUAUGUAUUUUCCUGUCACUUAGUGUCAUUUUCUAGCACAAUAAAGUAACUAUGCAACCUUCAGUUGUUAUAAAAAUGCUGCAUGUAAAUCAAUCGUAACUUAAAAGAAUUUGAUGAAUUAAAACUGGCCUCUGCCUUCAAAAAGCUCCUACACUUUCUGAUGUGAUCACAACUACGGUCCUCCAUUAUGUAGUUUACAAUCGUUCUUUUUAGCAUUGGAGUGAGAAGUAGUUCAUAUGAUAAUCUUGCUAAUUGCUGCCGAUGCUAGUCUGGAGGAGCUGAGUGAGGGAAGAGGUGCUUCUGAAAAUAACAGCCUCUAGGUGGAAACCCUUGUCGCUCUGGAGAGCAGAGAGUUCAGUGAAGCAGCGCUGGCGAAGGAGGAUUUAGAUGGAUGCCGGAGCAGAGUUCACGACGACCGAAAGGGGAGAUCAAUAUUUACAAACCCGUUUGAGCGUUGACCUUUCACAAACUCCGCCAUACUGUUUAAUGUUCUGGCCUGCACUUUAAUGGACACAUCAUCACGCACUUCAUCAAGCUGUCCUGCCCCCUCGUACGCCUACUUUAUGCACUUCAGGUUUUUGUUUUUUUUUUCUUUCCUUACAAUCUCAAGGGGAGUUUAUCCUUGAGAUGUUUUGCUUGGAGUGUGGUAAUAACUUUGUCAAAGCCAACUGGAGUAUGACUGAAGUAAAAGAAAAAAAA